UAAAAAAGCAAGUGUCUUUGGUGUUGGA
rnacentral:piRNA from 1 species